UACGGGGGGGGCAAGCGUUGUUCGGAAUUACUGGGCGUAAAGGGCUCGUAGGCGGCCAACUAAGUCAUACGUGAAAUCCCUCGGCUUAACCGGGGAACUGCGUCUGAUACUGGAUGGCUUGAGUUCGGGAGAGGGAUGCGGAAUUCCAGGUGUAGCGGUGAAAUGCGUAGAUAUCUGGAGGAACACCGGUGGCGAAGGCGGCAUCCUGGACCAACACUGACGCUGAGUGAGCGAAAGCCAGGGGAGCAAACGGG
rnacentral:rRNA from 1 species